GAAGCAUAGCUCAGUUGGGAGAGCACCUGCCUUACAAGCAGGGGGUCAUAGGUUCGAGCCCUAUUGUUUCC
rnacentral:tRNA from 1 species